GGGGAAACAAUGUAAUCUUUUGAUACUCUCUUUUAUUGAAACUCUUGGUUAUUUAUAUGGUUUCCAUAUGUUUUGAUUGUUAUUUGUUGGGUUCUCAUCUGUGCUUAAUGCUUUUAUCGUUUAACUCAUUCGAUAACUGAUGUUUGUCUUUAUUGAUACGGGGACGUACAGUAAUGUCAUGAACUGGUGAGUAAUUCCUUGAUUUUGCAAUACCACCUAGGGAUAGGGGUAGGACGAUCAAUUGCGUUUAACUUCUGCUCUAUAAUGUUGUAUUAAUUACUAGGGGAGGCUAGGGAUAGCAAGCCAGUAAUUAGUAUUAGGCUCUUUUCGCCGAGGGAUCGGGUUAAGGGUAGGCUAAGAAAGUUGCAUGACAAUUAAUUGAUCAAGCUAAUAAUUCAAGAGGAGUAAAUAAGAGAGAGCAGAUAAGAUGAAAUUGUAAACCGCCAACAACUCCAUUCAUCUAUUGUUUUCCUCUCAUUAAUUGAAUCAACUUCAUUGCAUGUUUAUUUUGUGUUUUGCAUCAACCACAAUUAAUUUUUAUUUUCAAGUCUUACGAUUUUAAUUCACGCGAACGAUAAGGCCUUUC
rnacentral:lncRNA from 1 species